UCAAGUGCGUAGGCUUAAGAGUUAGGUAAAUCCGGCUCUUUUUAAGGCUGAGACACGACGUCGAGCACCUACGGGUGUGAAGUCAUUGAUGCCAUGCUUCCAGGAAAAGCCUCUAAGCUUCAGAUUGUAAGGAAUCGUACCCCAAACCGACACAGGUGGUCGGGUAGAGAAUACCAAGGCGCUUGAGAGAACUCGGGUGAAGGAACUAGGCAAAAUGGUACCGUAACUUCGGGAGAAGGUACGCUCUCGACGGUGAAGUCCCUCGCGGAUGGAGCUAUUGAGAGUCGCAGAUACCAGGUGGCUGCAACUGUUUAUUAAAAACACAGCACUGUGCAAAAUCGUAAGAUGACGUAUACGGUGUGACGCCUGCCCGGUGCCGGAAGGUUAAUUGAUGGGGUUAGACUUC
rnacentral:rRNA from 1 species